rnacentral:lncRNA from 1 species
GCCACCGAUGGAGACUAUACUAACACACAACUGUCAAUGUCUUUUAUGUUACUUGAAACGUGCAAACAGUAACUGUUGUAUAAAAUGACUUAAUGUACGAAACAAAUACUGUAUUUAUUGUGUAUGCACCUUAUUCACAGAAGAGAAAACAAUUCCAUGACACAUACACACCACGCCUAUGAAUAAGCAACAACACAUUCCCACAUUAAUGUACUACCACG